GAAGAAGACGCAUUGGAGCGUACGAAGGACUCAGCUACGCUAGACAGAUCUGGUUGUUGUUUGUUUGUAAGUGGGAUGAUGUUAGACAAAUGUCAUAGCCCCUCUGGACUCCAGAGUCUAUCCAUAGCAGGAACUGGCUAAAGGGAGGCUUAGAAGAUACUGUUAGCAUUUCGUCUAAGCUCCGCCCCACAGUUACCUGGCGAUGGCCAGGCAUGCGCACUCACUUAUAAGGGGCUGCUCUCCUCACUCUGCUCUCUUGCUCUUGCCUUCUAAUAUAUACUGUGUGUGAAGUCGGCUAUGUGCUGCUCAUAAGCGCUUCCAGAUGCAAGGAUGCAGUCAUCUGUCUUUCAUGGAAUGGGGUAAGGGCCAGGCUUGCAGGUAGCCCCGGGAAGAGAGAAACUUCUACUAACGGGAGAGGGAAGGGUCUGGACCACCGAGGUUUGCCUGAAGGUUGCCCUCUUCGGGGAUCUCAGAGCAAGCCAGUGACUCAGAAAGGUUGGUGCUACGGAAGCUGCAGCACUGCAGACUAUUUUGACUUCCAACAGUGGCUUAAUGUCUCUGCCCAGGUGACAAGUGACUGUAAUAAAAGCAAAGCCUGCCUCCUUAUGUAUGAUCCCCCUCUCACCUAGACACAAACACUUAGAUCUCUACCACCACCCCUGCCAAGACAUAGUUACACAGAAAGGAAUGUUAUUUGGAUAAGACCUGGCCCUGGGCUCUGCCUUGCUCAUCACUAGAGCAGAUGGUUAGAAACUAGCUAAAGUCCAUGGUAAAUGAAGUCUGGAACCCUCAGGGCAGCUCCUGGAUGGUUUAUCUGAAGUCCCAAAGGCUACAG
rnacentral:lncRNA from 1 species